UAUCAAAACCUACUGGAUCAGACCCGUAUUGUUCGGUUCCUUCUUGGAUUGAACAAGGAUCUUGGCGAUGUAAGGGGACGAAUCAUGGCAACAUAACCGCUUCCAGAUCUAAGGAAAGCCUUUGCCCAAAUAAGAUGUGAGUCCAGUCGUCGCAAGAUCAUGUUGCCUGAACAGCUCAAGCCUAUAAAUGACGGAUCAGCACUUGUAGCUCGUAAUGCUCCCAAGA
rnacentral:lncRNA from 1 species